rnacentral:other from 2 species
GAAGCCCUGCGAUGCGCGUGAUCCGGUCCGAUAUGUUUUGAGCCAACACCAAAACAUAGGGAGCCUGAUCCAGGACGGUGGCCGUCCUGCCCCCGUUCGCAAGAACGCCAGGGGACUGCGAAAGCCGGCCGGAGGCGCCCACCUGCGAGCGCGCAGGUUCAAAACUUCGGUGACACGGCAUAGGCGGGGUAUUC